rnacentral:rRNA from 1 species
CCUACGGGUGGCUGCAGUGGGGAAUAUUGGGCAAUGGGCGCAAGCCUGACCCAGCAAUGCCGCGUGAAGGAAGAAGGCUUUCGGGUUGUAAACCUCUUUGUCAGGGGAAGAGCAGACGACUGUACCCUGAAAACAAGCCACGGCGAACUACGUGCCAGCAGCCGCGGUAAUACGUAGGUGGCAAGCGUUGUCCGGAUUUACAGGGUGUAAAGGGCGUGUAGGCGGGAAGGCAAGUCAGGUGUGAAAUCCGGAGGCUCAACCUCCGAAUUGCAUUUGAAACUGUUUGUCUAGGGUACAGGAGCGGCAGGCGGAAUGUAUUGUGUAGCGGUGAAAUGCUUAGAGAUCAGACGGAACACCGAUGGCGAAGGUAGUCUACCGAACAACAACUGACGGUGAGGCACGAAAGCGUGGGGAGCAAACAGGAUUAGAUACCCUAGUAGUC